rnacentral:rRNA from 1 species
UAAUCGCGAAUCAGCAUGUCGCCGGUGAAUACGUUCCCGGGCCUUGUACACACCGCCCGUCACACCAUGAGAGUUGGCAAUACCCAACGUACGUGAUCUAACCCGCAAGGGAGGAAGCGUCCUAAGGUAGGGUCAGCGAUUGGGGUGAAGUCGUAACAAGGUAGC